rnacentral:tRNA from 1 species
GUCCUUGUAGCUCAGUGGAUAGAGCGGUCGCCUCCUAAGCGACAGGUCGCGGGUUCAACUCCCGCCUUGGACG